UACGUAGGUGGCAAGCGUUGUCCGGAUUUAUUGGGUUUAAAGGGUGCGUAGGCGGCUUUGUAAGUCAGUGGUGAAAUAUGGCAGCUCAACGGUCAGGGUGCCAUUGAUACUGCAGAGCUUGAGUACAGAUGAGGUAGGCGGAAUUGACGGUGUAGCGGUGAAAUGCUUAGAUAUCGUCAAGAACACCGAUAGCGAAGGCAGCUUACUGGGCUGUAACUGACGCUGAGGCACGAAAGUGUGGGGAUUAAACAGG
rnacentral:rRNA from 1 species